rnacentral:sRNA from 1 species
AGAAGGGAGCCACACUUUUCAUGCUGAGCGCAUUAAAGUGCCGAUAGGAAACUUCUUACAGAUUGUGGAGAGCUGCAGCCAACUCCAGGGUUUCCAGUCUGAGGAGGUCUCACCUGCUGAAGCAGCCAGCCCUGGGACGCCCCGGCAGGCGGAGGACAAGACCCGGCAGGAGUCGAGCUUUGAGGACAUGAUGGCCACCAGGUCCUCUGACUGGCUCCGGCGGCCUUUGGGGGAGGACAAUCAGCCAGAGACCCAGCUGUUCUGGGACAAGGAGCCUUGGUUUUGGCACGACACUCUGACCGAGCAACUCUGGCGGAUUUUUGCCGGCGUCCACGAUGAGAAGGCAAAGCCCAGAGACAGACGUGAGUGUCCCCGAGGGUGAGGGGGAAGGGGCGGCCACAGGCUGCAUCUCAGGGGCCGUGCAGUGAACCCUGCUGUUCUCUCUCUGUCCCCCUCCUCCUCUCCGUUGUCAUGGUGACAGAGCAGGCACCAGGCCUGGUGAGUAAACAACCUCAGCUCUACCCAGAGGGGUGGGCUUCCGGGCAGGAGGUUGGGCUCCCCCAGGUCAGGGCACUGGGGUUCCUGUGGGAUUUGUCUUCCUUCCGUCCUGCCCCUCGGGUCCCCUGGGGGGGGACUUGGGUGAUCCAGGAGGCUAUACUGGAGUAGCCCAGGACCCACAGCCCAGGGCUUCCAGGACCCUAUACCCUGACUCUCUCUCUGCAACUCUGCCUGGACUCACAGACGGGAUCCCAGGCAGCUGACAAGCCCCGUGCACGCUGCCCAGGAAUCCCUGAGGUCGUCUGGUCCUAACAGGCAGGUCAGCAGGCCUGAUGAGACUUUUCCAUUUUCCAGGGGCAGGAAAGCAAGGCACCAGGAUCCUGUGACCCAGGAACAGACCCAUGUCCCGAAGAUGCCUCCAGUAAACCCAGCGGGCAGGGGCCGACCGACUCCAGGCGGGAUGGGGUGGGGGGCAUCCUGCGCUUAGGAGCCAAUGCAAGCCAGUUAGUCCCUCUUGUCUCCCCGCUAGCCCCCAGGCCACCUGAGACCUCCUCCAGCCCCCCUGAGGGUUCCCAAGACAAGAACACAAGUUGGGGUGUGGUCCAGGUGAGACCCAGGCCUGAGCUGGUAGCCCAGUGUGAAGACUGUCCAGGUGGGGUAGAGGAGGGGGGCACAGAUGUGAUGUGCGGGGAGGCUGGGG